ncrna:Bombyx mori (domestic silkworm) microRNA bmo-mir-2807a precursor (bmo-mir-2807a-6)
UAAAACUAAAAUUUGUAUGGAGUUGGAACGUUUGCUUAUGUUUGCCACUAGGGGCGCUGUUCCAGCUGCAUACAAAUUUCAGUUA